UUCCCGGGGCCUUGUACACACCGCCCCGUCAAGCCAUGGAAGUUGGGAGUACCUGAAGUCGAUCACCGCAAGGAGUCGCCUAGGGUAAAAAUCAAUGACUGGGGCU
rnacentral:rRNA from 1 species